rnacentral:rRNA from 1 species
AUUGAACGCUGGCGGCAGGCCUAACACAUGCAAGUCGAACGGUAGCACAGAGAGCUUGCUCUCGGGUGACGAGUGGCGGACGGGUGAGUAACGUCUGGGAAACUGCCCGAUGGAGGGGGAUAACUACUGGAAACGGUAGCUAAUACCGCAUAACGUCGCAAGACCAAAGUGGGGGACCUUCGGGCCUCACACCAUCGGAUGUGCCCAGAUGGGAUUAGCUAGUAGGUGGGGUAAUGGCUCACCUAGGCGACGAUCCCUAGCUGGUCUGAGAGGAUGACCAGCCACACUGGAACUGAGACACGGUCCAGACUCCUACGGGAGGCAGCAGUGGGGAAUAUUGCACAAUGGGCGCAAGCCUGAUGCAGCCAUGCCGCGUGUAUGAAGAAGGCCUUCGGGUUGUAAAGUACUUUCAGCGGGGAGGAAGGCGGUGAAGUUAUUAGCUUCACCGAUUGACGUUACCCGCAGAAGAAGCACCGGCUAACUCCGUGCCAGCCGCCGCCGUAAGAC